AGUCCAAAAGCAUGGCACCAGCAUCUGGUGAGGGCCACAUCCAUGGCGGAAGGAUGAAGGGCAAGAGAGGGUGAAAGCAAGGCAGAGAGAAAAUUGAGCUGAAUUCAUCCUUUUAUCAGGAGCCCACCCCCAUGGAAACUGGGUCAAUGGUGGAGAUAUUAUGGGAUAGCGAAGACCAUUGGAAAAGCAUAUUUGGGAUGUGCAGAUGCCCGGAGUUGCUUUUGGACAUGCUAAGUUGCAACACCUAUUCAACAUGUAAAUGGAGAUGUGAAGCAAACCACUGGAUAAACAUGUCUGGCUUUUAAGAGAGAGGUCCAGCCUGGAGCUCAUAGUGUGUGGUGUGUUGGCUCAAUAUAUAAUCUUCAGUUUUAUUGCUUAGAUGUUCCCACCCCAAUUCCAGUGGAAGAAACAUG